rnacentral:rRNA from 1 species
CCUACGGGAGGCAGCAGUGGGGGAUAUUGCACAAUGGGGGAAACCCUGAUGCAGCGACGCCGCGUGGGUGAAGAAGCGCCUCGGCGCGUAAAGCCCUGUCAGCAGGGAAGAAAAUGACGGUACCUGAAGAAGAAGCCCCGGCUAACUACGUGCCAGCAGCCGCGGUAAUACGUAGGGGGCAAGCGUGAUCCGGAUUUACUGGGUGUAAAGGGGGCGCAGGCGGGGAUGCAAGCCAGGAGUGAAAGCCCGGGGCCCAACCCCGGGACUGCUCUUGGAACUGCGUGGCUAGAGUGCAGGAGGGGCAGGCGGAAUUCCUGGUGUAGCGGUGAAAUGCGUAGAUAUCAGGAGGAACACCGGUGGCGAAGGCGGCCUGCUGGACUGCAACUGACGUUGAGGCCCGAAAGCGUGGGGAGCAAACAGGAUUAGAUACCCCUGUAGUC